CUGGAAGAAUCUGGAGACAGGUGCUGCAUGGCUGCCGUCAGCUCGUGUCGUGAGAUGUUGGGUUAAGUCCCGCAACGAGCGCAACCCUUGCCUUUAGUUGCCAGCAGUUCGGCUGGGCACUCUAAAGGGACUGCCGGUGUUAAACCGGAGGAAGGUGGGGAUGACGUCAAGUCCUCAUGGCCUUUAUGACCAGGGCUACACACGUACUACAAUGGCCGAUACAAAGGGCAGCGACACUGCGAGGUGAAGCCAAUCCCGUAAAAUCGGUCUCAGUCCGGAUUGGAGUCUGCAACUCGACUCCAUGAAGUUGGAAUCGCUAGUAAUCGUGGAUCAGCAUGCCACGGUGAAUACGUUCCCGGGCCUU
rnacentral:rRNA from 1 species